CUACCCUUAAAGCCAACUCUCUCUCUCUCUCUCUCUACCUUCAGUAUCUUCUUCUCCUCCUCCGCACAGAGACACAGACCUCGAGAGAGUGUGAAUGGCAAAGAAAAACGCGUCUUUGGAAUCGGUGUACGAGUUCUUGAAGAGGUGACGACUCGCCGGUAAUCGGAUCCCUCCAGAUCGUUCAGCUCAGCUCCUCCGCUUCCUCUCCCUCCGAUCUCAUCACGUAAGCAACAUACCCAUCUCUCGCCGGCGAUUCGAAUUUCAAAACCCUCGCUUAUCCACUCUCGCUUGCUGCAACGUCGUUUCGAAUCGGCGCGCUUUCGAUACGCGUCGUCAUCGUCGACUCCACUUCACACCACCAUGCCUCGCGCCACCAUCGACUUCUGCCUCCAUCACCGUGAUGACGGACCAAUCACAUCCCGCCACCUCGAAUUCGGUAUCUGCGGUGGAGAAGCCGCUGCCAAUACCGGCUGUAGCCUAUUUGAUGAGUACGUAAACAAGACCUUGGACAUGAUUGAGGGUUUUUGAUUCGGGUUUGUGAUUGGUGGUUUUUGCAGGUAUUUUUGCAUUGGUGAGCGAGAAGGACAGUAAGAGGCAUAAUACCAUUGAAGAAACUUAGAAAUGGUCCCCAGGUCACCAAAUUUGUAUUCCUGGAUCACUAUGAGCUGAGAAGAGUAAUGGUGCUAAACAUAUUCCAAUGAGUGAGCUGAUGGAUGGGUCUGAACCUACGGUUGAGAUAAAAAUAAAGACAUUGGAUCGUAAACCUAUACUCUCAAAGAGCAUAAAGAGAAGUAAUUUCUUGCACGGAGAGCACUUCUCAUGGGCGGUGUCAUGAAGGGACUUGUUCAUGUGACAGAUUGUGGUAUUUUUCUCAAGGGAAACACUAUUGAGCAAUGGAGCAAAUGUGUGUAUUAAAGCCAAUGAACCAGUCCUCGGUAGUAUACUUUCUCAUUACAAGUUUAUGCUGCUUGCUAAGAUCUGUCAUGUUUGAUUUCAUUAUCUGAUGGUGUUCGAUAUGGUGAUUGGUGGUUGUUUGGCUUUCAAUGAGACAAGGAUAACGGCUCCACCAACAACGCGGUUAUGGAUUGGAUUCAUGGCUCGAGUUACUGAACUGAUUUUAGCAACUUUCUAUUUAAAUAGUCAACUUUCUGACUUCCUUGGGGGAGAUUGCUCAUGUCCAAAUGAAGGCGGGUGCUUAGGUCUGCAAGGGACCCUGGAAUGAUCCAGAAAUUAUGAAAGUAUGAUUUUAGUGGAGUAAAUGUUACUGUCACAAAUAUUGAUACUUGAGAUAUCAAUACUUUGAACUAAUAGGUGGAUGUAUUACGGGCUUUUAUUGCCAAAAAAUUUGCAUCAUUACUCAUAUCACUUGUAUUUUACAGCUUGUACAUAUGGGAUUAUUUCUGUUGAUGGCAUAUUCACCCUUAUUUCUGUUGA